rnacentral:tRNA from 1 species
AAGAGAAAUAAAAAAUUUAGCUGCUAACUAAAUAAAGAGCAUAAAUGUUCAUCUCUUA